GUUAACAGUUCAGCAUCAAUUAUUUCACAUGGAGUUGCGUGUUGUAAAGUGAAUAGAUAUUUUCAACUCUAUAAACAUGUCAACACUGUCUUCAUUACAAUUCACAUUUGCAGUCUUGUGAUUUGAAUUAAUUGUUUUUCUGAGUCUAUGGAAUUUGUAACUUGCUUAACCUUAUUCAAAAGGCUUUAAUAUCUGGUGACUUCAUUAAUUGCUUGAUUGUUUUGUCCACUUGGACUAUCUGCUAAACUUGGCAAGAUACAAAAAGGGGGUGGCAGGGGAACCCCUGGCUCCAUAGCCACUUCAGAGCCCUAUAUGAAUAACAGUAUUUAUUGAGAUUUUAAUCUAUUUUCCAUUGCUUGAUGCCACAUGGAGCCCUAUAUAAACCCUAUAUAAUUAAUCAAGGUCACUGUAAGGAAACCAAGUAUAUUUAAACCGCAUUCGGUAGUUUCCUCCCGAACCGCCAGAGCCUUAGUGAUUAUAGCCCUCCGUUCGGUAGAUAGGGUAGACAAAUCCUAUAGCAAUCCCAAUAGCUUCACAAGAUAAUUCCCUUAGUGAAACACACAAAUCCCCAAACAUCAGCCGAAGUCAAGAAGAAGGGUACAAAAUGAACUAGCCUUUAAUGGGUGCACACAGCUUUUAUGCAAGUCCCCAUGCAAGGGGACAGCCCUCAGGGAGGGACAAACAUUAACCAAUCACAUACAGUAAAACUUUAACACACACCUACAAUUCCCU